rnacentral:rRNA from 1 species
UACGGGGGGGGCAAGCGUUGUUCGGAAUUACUGGGCGUAAAGGGCUCGUAGGUGGCCAACUAAGUCAGACGUGAAAUCCCUCGGCUUAACCGGGGAACUGCGUCUGAUACUGGAUGGCUCGAGUGUGGGAGAGGGAUGCGGAAUUUCAGGUGUAGCGGUGAAAUGCGUAGAUAUCUGGAGGAACACCGGUGGCGAAGGCGGCAUCCUGGACCAUAACUGACACUGAUAAGCGAAAGCGUGGGGAGCGAACAGG